rnacentral:rRNA from 1 species
UUAAGCGACUAAGCGUACACGGUGGAUGCCCUGGCAGUCAGAGGCGAUGAAGGACGUGCUAAUCUGCGAAAAGCGUCGGUAAGGUGAUAUGAACCGUUAUAACCGGCGAUGUCCGAAUGGGGAAACCCAGUGCAAUUCGUUGCACUAUCGUUAACUGAAUACAUAGGUUAACGAGGCGAACCGGGGGAACUGAAACAUCUAAGUACCCCGAGGAAAAGAAAUCAACCGAGAUUCCCCCAGUAGCGGCGAGCGAACGGGGAGCAGCCCAGAGUCUGAAUCAGCUUGUGUGUUAGUGGAACGGUCUGGAAAGUCCGACGGUACAGGGUGAUAGUCCCGUACACCAAAAUGCACAGGCUGUGAACUCGAAGAGUAGGGCGGGACACGUGGUAUCCUGUCUGAAUAUGGGGGGACCAUCCUCCAAGGCUAAAUACUCCUGACUGACCGAUAGUGAACCAGUACCGUGAGGGAAAGGCGAAAAGAACCCCGGCGAGGGGAGUGAAAAAGAACCUGAAACCGUGUACGUACAAGCAGUGGGAGCACCUUCGGGUGUGACUGCGUACCUUUUGUAUAAUGGGUCAGCGACUUAUAUUCUGUAGCAAGGUUAACCGUAUAGGGGAGCCGCAGGGAAACCGAGUCUUAACUGGGCGUUAAGUUGCAGGGUAUAGACCCGAAACCCGGUGAUCUAGCCAUGGGCAGGUUGAAGGUUGGGUAACACUAACUGGAGGACCGAACCGACUAAUGUUGAAAAAUUAGCGGAUGACUUGUGGCUGGGGGUGAAAGGCCAAUCAAACCGGGAGAUAGCUGGUUCUCCCCGAAAGCUAUUUAGGUAGCGCCUCGUGAAUUCAUCUUCGGGGGUAGAGCACUGUUUCGGCUAGGGGGUCAUCCCGACUUACCAACCCGAUGCAAACUACGAAUACCGAAGAAUGUUAUCACGGGAGACACACGGCGGGUGCUAACGUCCGUCGUGAAGAGGGAAACAACCCAGACCGCCAGCUAAGGUCCCAAAGUCAUGGUUAAGUGGGAAACGAUGUGGGAAGGCACAGACAGCCAGGAUGUUGGCUUAGAAGCAGCCAUCAUUUAAAGAAAGCGUAAUAGCUCACUGGUCGAGUCGGCCUGCGCGGAAGAUGUAACGGGGCUAAACCAUGCACCGAAGCUGCGGCAGCGACACUAUGUGUUGUUGGGUAGGGGAGCGUUCUGUAAGCCGUUGAAGGUGUGCUGUGAGGCAUGCUGGAGGUAUCAGAAGUGCGAAUGCUGACAUAAGUAACGAUAAAGCGGGUGAAAAGCCCGCUCGCCGGAAGACCAAGGGUUCCUGUCCAACGUUAAUCGGGGCAGGGUGAGUCGACCCCUAAGGCGAGGCCGAAAGGCGUAGUCGAUGGGAAACAGGUUAAUAUUCCUGUACUUGGUGUUACUGCGAAGGGGGGACGGAGAAGGCUAUGUUAGCCGGGCGACGGUUGUCCCGGUUUAAGCAUGUAGGCGGAGGUUCCAGGUAAAUCCGGUACCUUAUUAACGCUGAGGUGUGAUGACGAGGCACUACGGUGCUGAAGUAACAAAUGCCCUGCUUCCAGGAAAAGCCUCUAAGCAUCAGGUAACAUCAAAUCGUACCCCAAACCGACACAGGUGGUCAGGUAGAGAAUACCAAGGCGCUUGAGAGAACUCGGGUGAAGGAACUAGGCAAAAUGGUGCCGUAACUUCGGGAGAAGGCACGCUGGUGUGUAGGUGAAGUCCCUGCGGAUGGAGCUGAGACCAGUCGAAGAUACCAGCUGGCUGCAACUGUUUAUUAAAAACACAGCACUGUGCAAACACGAAAGUGGACGUAUACGGUGUGACGCCUGCCCGGUGCCGGAAGGUUAAUUGAUGGGGUUAUCCGUAAGGAGAAGCUCUUGAUCGAAGCCCCGGUAAACGGCGGCCGUAACUAUAACGGUCCUAAGGUAGCGAAAUUCCUUGUCGGGUAAGUUCCGACCUGCACGAAUGGCGUAAUGAUGGCCAGGCUGUCUCCACCCGAGACUCAGUGAAAUUGAACUCGCUGUGAAGAUGCAGUGUACCCGCGGCAAGACGGAAAGACCCCGUGAACCUUUACUAUAGCUUGACACUGAACAUUGAGCCUUGAUGUGUAGGAUAGGUGGGAGGCUUUGAAGCGUGGACGCCAGUCUGCGUGGAGCCAACCUUGAAAUACCACCCUUUAAUGUUUGAUGUUCUAACGUUGGCCCCUUACCGGGGUUGCGGACAGUGUCUGGUGGGUAGUUUGACUGGGGCGGUCUCCUCCCAAAGCGUAACGGAGGAGCACGAAGGUUAGCUAAUCCUGGUCGGACAUCAGGAGGUUAGUGCAAUGGCAUAAGCUAGCUUGACUGCGAGCGUGACGGCGCGAGCAGGUGCGAAAGCAGGUCAUAGUGAUCCGGUGGUUCUGAAUGGAAGGGCCAUCGCUCAACGGAUAAAAGGUACUCCGGGGAUAACAGGCUGAUACCGCCCAAGAGUUCAUAUCGACGGCGGUGUUUGGCACCUCGAUGUCGGCUCAUCACAUCCUGGGGCUGAAGUAGGUCCCAAGGGUAUGGCUGUUCGCCAUUUAAAGUGGUACGCGAGCUGGGUUUAGAACGUCGUGAGACAGUUCGGUCCCUAUCUGCCGUGGGCGCUGGAGAAUUGAGGGGGGCUGCUCCUAGUACGAGAGGACCGGAGUGGACGCAUCACUGGUGUUCGGGUUGUCAUGCCAAUGGCACUGCCCGGUAGCUAAAUGCGGAAGAGAUAAGUGCUGAAAGCAUCUAAGCACGAAACUUGCCCCGAGAUGAGUUCUCCCUGAGACUUUAAGUCUCCUGAAGGAACGUUAAAGACGAUGACGUUGAUAGGCCGGGUGUGUAAGCGCAGCGAUGCGUUGAGCUAACCGGUACUAAUGAACCGUGAGGCUUAACCUU